CUAUGUGUUGUUGGGUAGGGGAGCGUUCUGUAAGCCUGUGAAGGUGUGCUGUGAGGCAUGCUGGAGGUAUCAGAAGUGCGAAUGCUGACAUAAGUAACGAUAAAGCGGGUGAAAAGCCCGCUCGCCGGAAGACCAAGGGUUCCUGUCCAACGUUAAUCGGGGCAGGGUGAGUCGACCCCUAAGGCGAGGCCGAAAGGCGUAGUCGAUGGGAAACAGGUUAAUAUUCCUGUACUUGGUGUUACUGCGAAGGGGGGACGGAGAAGGCUAUGUUGGCCGGGCGACGGUUGUCCCGGUUUAAGCGUGUAGGCUGGUUUUCCAGGCAAAUCCGGAAAAUCAAGGCUGAG
rnacentral:rRNA from 1 species